CCCGGGCCUUGUACACACCGCCCGUCACACCACGAAAGUCGGUAACACCCGAAGCCAGUGGCCCAACCCUUUGGGAGGGAGCUGUCGAAGGUGGGAUCAGCGAUUGGGGUG
rnacentral:rRNA from 1 species